UGGAGAAAGGUUCCAUGUGAAC
rnacentral:misc_RNA from 1 species